rnacentral:rRNA from 1 species
GACGAACGCUGGCGGCGUGCUUAACACAUGCAAGUCGAGCGGAAAGGCCCUUCGGGGUACUCGAGCGGCGAACGGGUGAGUAACACGUGAGUAACCUGCCCUUGGCUCUGGGAUAAGCCCGGGAAACUGGGUCUAAUACCGGAUAUGACCCCCUACCGCAUGGUGCGGGGGUGGAAAGUUUUUCGGCUGGGGAUGGACUCGCGGUCUAUCAGCUUGUUGGUGGGGUGAUGGCCUACCAAGGCGACGACGGAUAGCCGGCCUGAGAGGGUGACCGGCCACACUGGGACUGAGACACGGCCCAGACUCCUACGGGAGGCAGCAGUGGGGAAUAUUGCGCAAUGGGCGAAAGCCUGACGCAGCGACGCCGCGUGGGGGAUGAAGGCCUUCGGGUUGUAAACCUCUUUCACCACCGACGAAGCUAACG